UACGAAGGGGGCUAGCGUUGCUCGGAAUUACUGGGCGUAAAGGGAGCGUAGGCGGACAUUUAAGUCAGAGGUGAAAUCCCGAAGCUUAACUUCGGAACUGCCUUUGAUACUGGGUGUCUUGAGUGUGAGAGAGGUAUGUGGAACUCCGAGUGUAGAGGUGAAAUUCGUAGAUAUUCGGAAGAACACCAGUGGCGAAGGCGACAUACUGGCUCAUUACUGACGCUGAGGCUCGAAAGCGUGGGGAGCAAACAGG
rnacentral:rRNA from 1 species